UCAAGCAAAUAGCUUCAUCCAAGGCUCAUCCCCACAGCAUCAAAUUCCCUUUUUUAUCUAUUGUUCCACCAUCCAUUCUGCAUUUUAAAACUGGCUUUGCUUUCGCUCUCCCCCUCAGUAUUGACAAAGAGUCUUUGGUCUGAAAUAUGAACUAUGUUUCUCUUUCCACAGAGGCUACUUGAUUGGAUUUUCUGUUUUUAUUUGUUCAAGAGAUAUUUUAAACAUUUGUAACUGAAAGUGGGAAUGGCUAUGGGAUUUCAGCAACAGCUGGUCUGAUAUGGUCUGGCCUGGGAUUGAUAUGGAAAUGAGCAUUGUUACAGAAGUAGAAAUACAUAAUCUCGGAGAUGUGUUUGGAAGCUCAAAAGAUUAAUUAAUUUUCUGGUUGGCAAGAAGAAUGGAGGCAGUGGCAAGAGUCUGUCUGCAGAAGUGACCCAAGAUGGUGUUUUAAUUCUAAUUGUGUUUAACUGGGAAGUCGCAGUGUCCCUGUGGGUUUCUGCAUUUUUCUCAGCUCAAAUGUCACACUGCUUUGCAUCAUCCACAACUUGCGAUUUAGUGGAGGGGUGGAGCCAAGAAUCAUCAGCAAUGUUUAGAAGAUGGUGUAGUACAAGUGGGCCAUUCAGCCCCUCAUGCCUAUCCUACCAUUUUACGAUAGUUUAUCAUUUAUCUCCGUACCUCUUUCCUACACUAAGAGAUGCAACAC